rnacentral:antisense_RNA from 1 species
CUCAAUGGUAGCUGUGCGCAGGGCGCCUUCGGGCGCGCCGGAAAUUGUGAGACCACCGGUCGACUAACCUGCGCAUAGCUGCCUCUCUC